rnacentral:rRNA from 1 species
UGGGGAAUAUUGCACAAUGGGCGAAAGCCUGAUGCAGCAACGCCGCGUGAGCGAUGAAGGCCUUUGGGUCGUAAAGCUCUGUCCUAGGGGAAGAAUAAAUGACGGUACCCUUGGAGGAAGCCCCGGCUAACUACGUGCCAGCAGCCGCGGUAAUACGUAGGGGGCAAGCGUUAUCCGGAAUUAUUGGGCGUAAAGAGUGCGUAGGUGGUUUUGUAAGCGCGGGGUGAAAGGCAAUAGCUCAACUAUUGUAAGCCCUGCGAACUGUGAGACUUGAGUGCAGGAGAGGAAAGCGGAAUUCCUAGUGUAGCGGUGAAAUGCGUAGAUAUUAGGAGGAACACCAGUGGCGAAGGCGGCUUUCUGGACCGUAACUGACACUGAGGCACGAAAGCGUGGGGAGCAAACA